rnacentral:rRNA from 1 species
CCAAAAACAUAGCCCUCAAAACAAUUGAAGGUGAAACCUGCCCAAUGAUUUAAUACACUAAAUUUAAAAAAUUAAAAAAAAAAGAUUAAAUGGCUGCAGUAACCAUGACUGUAAAAAUGUAGCAUAAUAAUUCGCCACUUAAUUAGUGGAUAGUAUGAACGGUUUAACGAAAAUUCCACUGUCUUAUGAAAUAAAAAAAAAAUUUAAAUCAUAGUUAAGAUGCUAUGUAAAACUGUAAGACGAAAAGACCCUAUAAAGCUUAACUAUAUUUCUUAAUAAAUUAAAAAAAAAAAUAAAAACAAUUAUUAAUUAAGAUUUGGUAGUUUCAUUGGGGCGAUGGUCUCUAAAAAUAAACAGAGAUAAACCUAUAUAAUAAUAAAAAUUUACUGUAUAAUUAAUAAAUUUAACAGUUACAAAGUAGGGUAUAAUGACCCAUUAUUUUAAUAAAAAAAAAUAAUGAUCAAUAGAUAAAAGCUACUUUAGGGAUAACAGGAUAAUAAUUUCUUAGAGACCCAAUCGAAGAAAAAGUUUAUCACCUCGAUGUUGAAUUAAGAUAACCUAAUGACGCAGCAGUAAUUAAAGGUAGGUC